rnacentral:rRNA from 1 species
CCCUUAGAUGUUCUGGGCCGUACGCGCGCUACACUGAUGCAUUCAACGAGCCUAUCCUUGACCGACAGGUCCGGGUAAUCUUUGAAUCUGCAUCGUGACGGGGAUAGAUUAUUGCAAUUAUUAAUCUUCAACGAGGAAUGCCUAGUAGGCGCAAGUCAUCAGCUUGCGUCGAUUACGUCCCUGCCCUUUGUACACACCGCCCGUCGCUCCUACCGAUUGGGUGUGCUGGUGAAAUGUUCGGAUCGGCCGUUUGUCGCGGUUUCCGCGUCAUGUGGCUGAGAAGUUCAUUAAACCCUCCCACCUAGAGGAAGGAGAAGUCGUAACA